rnacentral:rRNA from 1 species
GAUGAACGCUAGCUACAGGCUUAACACAUGCAAGUCGAGGGGAAACGGCAUCGAAAGCUUGCUUUUGAUGGGCGUCGACCGGCGCACGGGUGAGUAACGCGUAUCCAACCUGCCCAUCACUUGGGAAUAACCUUGCGAAAGUAAGACUAAUGCCCAAUGACAUCCCACGAAGGCAUCCGAAUGGGAUUAAAGAUUUAUCGGUGAUGGAUGGGGAUGCGUCUGAUUAGCUUGUUGGCGGGGUGACGGCCCACCAAGGCAACGAUCAGUAGGGGUUCUGAGAGGAAGGUCCCCCACAUUGGAACUGAGACACGGUCCAAACUCCUACGAGAGGCAGCAGUGAGGAAUAUUGGUCAAUGGGCGAGAGCCUGAACCAGCCAAGUAGCGUGCAGGAUGACGGCCCUAUGGGUUGUAAACUGCUUUUAUAAGGGAAUAAAGUGGGUCACGUGUGACUUUUUGCAUGUACCUUAUGAAUAAGGACCGGCUAAUUCCGUG